rnacentral:rRNA from 1 species
UACAGAGGUCUCAAGCGUUGUUCGGAUUCAUUGGGCGUAAAGGGUGCGUAGGCGGCGCGGUAAGUCGGGUGUGAAAUCUCGGAGCUUAACUCCGAAACUGCAUUCGAUACUGCCGUGCUUGAGGACUGGAGAGGAGACUGGAAUUUACGGUGUAGCGGUGAAAUGCGUAGAUAUCAUGAGGAAUACCAGAGGCGAAGGCGGCUACCUGGACAAUUGCUGACGCUCAGGCACGAAAGCGUGGGGAGCAAAAGGG